rnacentral:rRNA from 1 species
GACGAACGCUGGCGGCGUGCUUAACACAUGCAAGUCGAACGGAAAGGCCCUGCUUGCAGGGUACUCGAGUGGCGAACGGGUGAGUAACACGUGGGUGAUCUGCCCUGCACUUCGGGAUAAGCCUGGGAAACUGGGUCUAAUACCGGAUAGGAGACAUUCUUAGUGCGAUGGUUGGAAAGUUUUUUCGGUGUAGGAUGAGCUCGCGGCCUAUCAGCUUGUUGGUGGGGUAAUGGCCUACCAAGGCGGCGACGGGUAGCCGGCCUGAGAGGGUGGACGGCCACAUUGGGACUGACGUGCGGCCCCGGCUCCUACGGGAGGCAGAAGUGGGGAAUAUUGCACAAUGGGCGCCAGCCUGAUGCAGCGACGCCGCGUGGGGGAUGACGGCCUUCGGGUUGUAAACUCCUUUCGCUAGGGACGAAGCUUUUUGUGACGUUACCUAGAUAAGAAGCACCGGCUAACUACGUG